rnacentral:rRNA from 1 species
UACGUAGGGUGCGAGCGUUAAUCGGAAUUACUGGGCGUAAAGCGUGCGCAGGCGGCUUUGCAAGACAGAUGUGAAAUCCCCGGGCUCAACCUGGGAACUGCUUUCAAAACUGCUGAGCUAGAGUACGGUAGAGGGUGGUGGAAUUUCCUGUGUAGCAGUGAAAUGCGUAGAUAUGCGGAGGAACACCAAUGGCGAAGGCAAUCCCCUGGGCCUGUACUGACGCUCAUGCACGAAAGCGUGGGGAGCAAACAGG